GACGAACGCUGGCGGCGUGCUUAACACAUGCAAGUCGAACGGAAAGGCCCUGCUUUUGUGGGGUGCUCGAGUGGCGAACGGGUGAGUAACACGUGAGUAACCUGCCCUUGACUUUGGGAUAACUUCAGGAAACUGGGGCUAAUACCGGAUAGGAGCUCCUGCUGCAUGGUGGGGGUUGGAAAGUUUCGGCGGUUGGGGAUGGACUCGCGGCUUAUCAGCUUGUUGGUGGGGUAGUUGCUUACCAAGGCUUUGACGGGUAGCCGGCCUGAGAGGGUGACCGGCCACACGGGAACGGAGACACGGGCCAGAGGCCUAAGGGAGGCAGCAGUAGGGAAUCGGACGCAAUGGGCGAAAGCCGGACGGAGCAGCGCGGCGUGAGUGAUGACGGUGUGCGGAUCGGAAAAAUCUGUUAGUAGGGAAGAACAAAUGUGUAAGUAACGGUGCACAGCGGGACGGUAACUAAUCAGAAAGCCACGGCUAACUACGUG
rnacentral:rRNA from 1 species